AGAUCAAGCGUAGAAUUCAAU
rnacentral:piRNA from 1 species